GUGCUCGCUUCGGCAGCACAUGUACUAACACUGGAACGAUACGGAGAAGAAGCAUGGCCCCCAUGCACGAACGACACGCAAAUCCGUGAAGCGUCAACAAACCAA